AGUUCCAUGUGCCAAGGGGAGUCAUGGUACCCAGCUCAUAAACCACAGCAUCCAAGGCGGGGUGGCAUGACUCAGGCAUUCUCUGCAGCAGCAUUUCUCUGCUGGCUACACUCCUGCUGGGGAAUUCUCGGUGGCUGCCCCACCGGUAGCAAGAGCUCCCCUUUACUGAGCCACCUUGAAGUGCUCAGAACCACUGGAGAUGCACUGCUGCCCUGGGGGCGUGGGUAGGAGUAGGUUAUGAGCCCAUUUGGGAGUUGGGGAAACUGAGGCCCACAGUGGAGAGGCUGCUCAUCCAAAGUCACACCAAGUAUCACCAAGCCUCAGAUCCAAACCCCUCUGGACUUCUCCAGGGAGAGAAUGGGCUGUGACCGAUGCUGACACAGUCACUUUAGGCUGGCAUGGGUGGCUAUGGGCACAAGCCGGGUGUCUGAAAGUAAACCUGUAAAGAAGAGCUGUGCCUCCCCAGGCCAGCUGCUUCACCUCUCUGAACCAGAAGGUGUUUCUAUCUGCCUCGUAGGGGCUGGGUGGCCCCGUGUCCUAGCAUGGCCAUCAGGGACACACACAGUGACCUAUGCGAGGCGCCUGGCACAUGGGAGGCCUUUGUUUGGUCUGCACAGUCCCCUGCCCAUCCCUGCUCUCUGUGCUUCUCUGGGCAGGAAGAAGCUCAAUUCCUGGCCAGCCUGAGGCCUAUUUCUGUUUCCAUUGGAUGUGGCUUCUAGCAGACUAAUGCGGUCCACACACUGCUCAAAUUUUCCUGGGGAAGGUGGCCCUGUGCUGGGACUGUUGGCAGGCACUGGGGUGGGUGGGGCUGAGGCAGUAGGUGCCAUUUGCCCACAAUCCCCUUAGGCAGCUCCGGCCGACUGCAGCGCCCUCUGUGCCCCGCCGUGCCUGCCGCACAGCGUGCUGCCCUUGGUGCUCGCUGCGGAGCACACGAGGAUGCUUUGUCUUCUCUUGCUCCCCAGGCCCAGCUGUGGGGCUCAGGCCCAGGAACCCAGUUCCCCUGGUCAUGGUUGUGAGAUGGAAGAUUUCCAGGGCCAGCUGUAGAAGGAAGAGGACUGAGCCGCCCUGCACAUGCUCCAUGGGAGCCCCACAGAAGCCGGAAGGGUCUGUGUGUGCGCGGGUGUGUGUUCCAGACCCCAGCCGGGUGCAGAAGGGAUGCAGGACAGAGCAGGGGCCUGGGGCAUUUAGAGGAGGAAUGAAGGCAGAGCAUGGUGGGCAGGUGGGGCUCAGGGCUGGGGUCCCAUCCCUUUUGACUUAAGGACUCCAUCCAUCCUAAUCUUCCCUUGCUCCCCAUUCCCCGAGUAUUUCAUGCUGCAGAGAGACCCUCUAGACACCUGUCCUGGGAAGAAGAGGGGGUGAUCUGGCAAAAUGAGCAAGGACAGAAGGACUGUGCACUGUGUCCCAGGAACCACAAGCCACGAUUUGCAAGCCCUGCGUGGGUGGCUCCGAUAACAGAGAGCAAGAGCGCUCUUUGAACUUGCCCGAUCCAGACCUUGGGUUGAAAUGUGUUUGCUGGGACCAGGGUUUCUUGGAAUAAGAGUUGUGGCCACUACCUGCGACCAAGCCCUGGCGAAGCGCUAGCCCCGGUCUCAGUUGCCCAUGGAUCCUCUCUCCUUGCACAGCUCAGCCUGCACCAGCUGCCACUGUGAAACCAACCUGCUCCUGAGGCUUUGGAAGAUGUGAGCAGGAAGAAUUGUUCUAAUAUAAAGCACAACUGGAGCUGGAUUCCAGGAAGAAACGUAAAAGGAUAUUUAUGCCUGCAAACACCCAUGUUCUCUUGCCACUAAAAGCAAGGUCCAUCUGCCAAUUCAUUCAACCUGCUCUGGCUUGAGAGCGCCCCCUGCCGGCGGUCCAGCAUCUGUCUCCCGGGUGCAGAGGGACUUAUUUCUGCAGAAGCCAGUUCCACUGUUGGAGAGGAUUUUGGCAGAUCUUCAAGCAUUUGAAUAUAGCUAUUACUCAAUUUUUAGUUCAAAGCAACAGAAAGUAGUCCAGCCUCACACCCCUUCCUGCCAUGGAGAAUGGUUUGGAGCUGCUACCUCUCAAGGUGAUGCCGCCCCUGACGCCUGGGCAGUGACACCGCAGGAGGACCUCGCCUCACUGGAGAGCUGAGAUCGGCCACUGUGAAGGGAGAGACCUGCCUACUCCUGCUGUCCUGGCUGGAUCCUGCUUCUCAGUGGGAGGGAGCUUCUGUGCUGGGAGAACUAGGAUACCACGUGCCACGCAGCCAGGCCCCAAGCUCCACGAGGACAGAAGCUCCUUUAUGUGGGACCUCGCCCUGUGUCUCUCUUCAUCUGGCUGUUAACUUGUAUCCUUUGCAGUAUCCUUCAUUACAUUGGUAAACAUAAGUGUUUUCCUGAGUUCUGUGAGCCGCUCUAGCAAACUGAUUGAACCUAAGGUGGAGGUCAUGGGAAUCUCCAAUCUAUAGCCAGUAGGUUAGAAGCACAGGGAACUGCCUGAGGCUUGCGACUGGUGGGUGGAGGGCAGACUUGUAGGACAGAGCCCUUAACCUGGGAAUCCAGUGCUGCUUCAGGCAGAUAGCACCAGAAUUGAGCUGAGUUCUCAGACACCCUGUUGGUGUUUGAGAAUUGCUUGGUGUUAGUAUGCGUGGGAAGACCCCCCUCCCACAUAUUUACACACACUGGAAUUGGGUCUGGGAACCCAAAUGGAGUUAUAUACUAUUACUUCUGAGUAUAAUAUUGUUAUUGCUGUACAUAUACGUAGGGAAAGACAACACCAGUGCAUUUGGUGUCAGAUGAGUGAGAUUAGCAGCUAGUUAAUAACCAGCUUAGAAACUUCUGCCUCUAAUGAAUUCACAUGAGAGAUCCUAACUCAGGUUAGGGAAUCAUUGCCUGUUUACUUUCUGGGUAAUAUGAGGGUCCACGUGCCUAACUGAAGUGAGAGGCAGUUGGAAAUUGGGGUUGAACAGUGAAAAGGAGAGAAAGGAUGUAGAGAACAGUGAACAAGACAUCUUAGCUUUUACGACAAAUUUUCCACAUGCAGCACUGAGAGGGCAGGCCCACGCCCUGGAAGGGGCUUUGAGCAGAGUCUAGCAGAGGGGUGCCUAGUAGAGAGCCCGACACACGGGAGGCCUUCAGUGUAAAUGAAGAAUGAAUAGUUUGCAGGAAGCAUAGUUUCCCUCAGGAAGCUAACCAUCCUCACAGCUGAAGGAGGGAGGCCUGGCAAUCGUCAGCUUUCAUGUCUGAAAGCCCAUUAAAAUGCUGCUCUGACAUCGGAACUCCCCAGCGCAAGAACAGGGAACAUCUGAGAUUUAGAAAAAUAACUUGAGUUGGCUUUGCAUUUUGAAAGUCAAAGUAAGAAGUCAAAACAGACUUUUCUGAGGGAAAGUCAACUGGUCUAGAAGAUUCUACGGUACUUACUCCCAUGAUGGGGGAAAGGGGCAGUCUCACCCCAAGGGAGCUGGAGAAUAUAGGGCUGGAAUCAGAAAGUACCAAAGCUGUAUAGAUUGACUGACAGCAAGAGUAAUCCAUUAAAUUCUGGCUCUUGGCCUUGACCUGUAUCUCUUUUAUUUGGCACUUGAAUCUCUGUCCAAACACAAAACAUCCUUUUCUAUGCUUGAUGCCUCAGUGUGGUUGGGUUGCUGAGAGAAGGCUCCUGUAGGCAUGAGGAUGCCUGGUGUUUGCCAAGUGGUGGUGGAUCAGAGAUGGCCACUGAGAGAGAUGGUCUGUACCUCCACUGCUGGAAUUGGGUGGGUUCUGUGUCUGCUCUAACCUAAAGAAUAUGGCAGAAGUAACACUUAAGAGAGUGGAGCUUUUCUUUUCUGUCUUUUGGAACACUCCUUGGGGCCCUGAGCUGCUCUACAGAAACAUUUGCUACACUGAGCUGCUGUGCGGAACCCAAGCUAGUCUUGUGGAGAUGCUGCAUUGAGAGAGGGAUGUCAGCCAGGCAGCCCAGUCUCCAGAAACUGAGAGGAGGAGACUUCAGUGCUCCAGCCCCAGCCACCGUGGGGCUCCAGUGAUGGGAGCCCCAGGGGAGAACUGGCCACAGAAUCAAGAGAAAGAAUAGUUUUUUUCAAGGUAUUCCAUUUUGGGGAGGUUUGUGAUGCAGAAAGAUAUCAUUAGAACCCAAGGCCAGAUUGCAUCCCAGACCACCCAUGAAGGAAGAAACACCCCAAGAAGGGAUUAGCUGGUGAAGGGGGUCUAGGCAAGCCAGAAAAGGCAGAAACACUGCGAGAAAACCACAAAAUGAGAGGAGUAAGAUGGAAGGGAGUAAGAUAGAGGUCCCAUGAAACUGACACUUUGAUUUUUACAAUUCUCUCCUUGGUAUUUAAUUUCUUAAAGAAAUGUUUUAAUUAAAAAAAGGAAGCACUUUUAAGAACAGGCACUGUUCUGUGGGGGUCAUAAUUAUUUUGAGUAAUUGUCCUUGAUCUGAUUUUUUGCCUACACUUAACUGACCUUUCGGUCGUAAAUUAUUAUUUGGAGAAAAGGAGAAGCAAGGGGAAAGGAAGUCAGCCUGAAUGACCCCGAGGAAGGGACCAGAGUGAUUAAUGCCUGGUGAGCACUUAUCGGGAAUCAGGCAACACGCUCAGAGCGCUAUACAUAUUAACUUGGUUAAUCUCCAAGCUCCCCAAUGUGGAGAUUAUUAUGGUCUCAUUUUACAUUUCAGGAAACCUGAUGCCUAAAACGUAAUAGAAUUGCCUAAAACAUACAGUUAAAAGGCAAGUCCGUUGAGCCAAACUUAGAAUUUGGACUCUUGCAAUUGGCGUUGAUUAAGACCUGUCCUGAUUCUUGAACAAAGUCUGCUUGAGUCCUUCCACCCUGAA